AUUGAACGCUGGCGGCAGGCCUAACACAUGCAAGUCGAAUGGUAACAGGAAACAGCUUGCUGUUUCGCUGACGAGUGGCGGACGGGUGAGUAAUGUCUGGGAAACUGCCUGAUGGAGGGGGAUAACUACUGGAAACGGUAGCUAAUACCGCAUAACGUCGCAAGACCAAAGAGGGGGACCUUCGGGCCUCUUGCCAUCAGAUGUGCCCAGAUGGGAUUAGCUAGUAGGUGGGGUAACGGCUCACCUAGGCGACGAUCCCUAGCUGGUCUGAGAGGAUGACCAGCCACCCUGGAACUGAGAAACGGUCCAGACUCCUACGGGAGGCAGCAGUGGGGAAUAUUGCACAAUGGGCGCAAGCCUGAUGCAGCCAUGCCGCGUGUAUGAAGAAGGCCUUCGGGUUGUAAAGUACUUUCAGCGGGGAGGAAGGGAGUAAAGUUAAUACCUUUGCUCAUUGACGUUACCCGCAGAAGAAGCACCGGCUAACUCCGUG
rnacentral:rRNA from 1 species